rnacentral:lncRNA from 1 species
UAUCAACGGUUUACAGGCUGCUUCGGCCCAGUCCCGUGACUAGCGGAGGGAUUUCGCAAAAUCUGCGCCUCCGGAAAAAGGGAACAGGGGACCCCAAAAUAAUUAAAAGCAGCGGCAACAAUCUGAGGAGAAACAAACUAAUUUACUGAAUACAUUAUCGGAAUGCAAGAUAACACACUAUAAUACAACAUAAUUAAAAUUGAAGCUAAUAAAUCAAAUAUAAUGAGAGAAUGUCCGAAAGGUGGAUAGGCCUCACCACAACGCUGAGGCAAGAUGCGCAGUCCAGUUGAGCAGCAGGGAGACAGGAGGAGAGCAGAUGAAAAAAAGCAGGCAAAGAAGAGCACAUCCGGUGACCUUGCAAGGAGUUAUAUCUCUUCUCUGUGACCGCAAAGUCCCCUGGGGAAUGUAGUUCUUCUCUUCCAGGCAGAUACCCAGAACUUGAGCAUUAAUAGUUAAACUCCCAGUGCCCCACUUGAUGUUAUGAUGUGGAAUACUGAAAACCAAAAAUCACAAAACCAUGACACAUGAGUCUAUCAAGUGGACUGUCUUCAACUAGACCAUGAUGCUCUCCAAGGAACAGAUGUCCAGACUGGUGAGCAGCCUGCAGACAGACGACAACCACUUCCUCAUGAACAACUUUCGGUAGGACCAGAGCCUGCACAUGAGGUGGGUGCUGGCAAGUUUUGAGCCGAGCUCCUCCCAGGAGAGGCAGGUGCCUGCAGCCAGAACCCCUUUGUCAAAAACCUAUUAUGAAUUGUUCCAAUUUAUGAAGAUCCAGCUUUCUUGGGGAUUUGUGAACAGAUGUUCUAGAAGAUCUUUAACGUAG